rnacentral:rRNA from 1 species
UACGUUAGGGGGGCAAGCGUUGUCCGGAAUCAUUGGGCGUAAAGCGCCGCGUAGCGGCCCGGUAAGUCCGCUGUGAAAGUCAAAGGCUCAACCUUUGAAUGUCAGCGGAUACUGCCGGCUAGAGUCCGGAAGAGGCGAGUGGGAACUCCUGGUGUAGCGGUGGAAUGCGCAGAUAUCGAGGAAGAACACCAACGGCGAAGGCAGCUCGCUGGGACGGAACUGACGCGUGAAGGCGC